GUUAGUGUGGUGCAGCGGUUUGAGUGUUGGACUACAACUCUGGAGACCAGGGUUUGAAUCCCUUCUCUGCCA